CGAAGCAUGUGCUCGUCCGUCAUCUUUAUCUCUCCACCUGUGCACAUUUUGUAGUCUUGGAUAACUCUCGAGGCAACUCGGAUUUUAGAAUCGCCGUGCUGUACAAGUCGGCUUUCCUUUCAUUUCCAAGACUAUGUUUUUAUAUACACCAAAGUAUGUUCAAAGAAUGUCAUCAAUGGGAACUUGUUUCCUAUAAAAUUAUACAACUUUCAGCAACGGAUCUCUUGGCUCUCGCAUCGAUGAAGAACGCAGCGAAAUGCGAUAAGUAAUGUGAAUUGCAGAAUUCAGUGAAUCAUCGAAUCUUUGAACGCACCUUGCGCUCCUUGGUAUUCCGAGGAGCAUGCCUGUUUGAGUGUCAUUAAAUUCUCAACCUUCCAACUUUUAUUAGCUUGGUUAGGCUUGGAUGUGGGGGUUGCGGGCUUCAUUAACGAGGUCGGCUCUCCUUAAAUGCAUUAGCGGAACUUUUGUGGACCGUCUAUUGGUGUGAUAAUUAUCUACGCCGUGGAUGUGAAGCAGCUUUAUGAAGUUCAGCUUCUAACCGUC
rnacentral:rRNA from 1 species